rnacentral:rRNA from 1 species
AUGGUGUGGCCUCGUGCACGAGAGCCGAGUUCUGCAGCCCAUACCACAAGGUCGCCGGGGUUCCUGGGCCUGAGCCCUGGCCUGGCCAUGUGGCAGGAGACGAGCUACGACGAUGGCAUCAUUGUCGGCGUAAUCGACUCUGGCAUCCGGCCGGAGCACUUGAGCUUCAACGAUACCGACCUUAGCCCCGUCCGGACGAGCUGGAGGAGCAGGUGCACCCCCGGCGCCAAGGGCUCCUUCGAAUGCAACGCCAAGAUCCAGGGAGCACGGUCGUUCAUCACGGACGAGCAAGGCAGGAUCACGUCCCCGAGGGACGUCAACAGCCCGGCACGUACUGACGCUAGCGGCGUCGCGCCAAGGGUCCGGCUCUCGGUCUACAGGGCCUGCACCAACGGCUCCUGCAGCGCGGCGACGGUGGUCGCCGCAAUAGAGGCGGCGGUCAAAGGCGGCGUGGACGUCCUGUGCGUGCCCGUUCCCUGGGUGGUGACCGUGGGCGCGUCCACCCAGGACCGGAUGUUCCCGGCAAAACUCAAGCUCGGCAACGACGAUGUCCUCACCGGCCAGUCGCUCUACAAGGCCAAGGCCAUGGGCACGCCCCCGGCGGGGCUGGUGCACAACCAAUGCAAGCACAGCGGGGACAUGACCCCAGACCUCGUGACUGACAAGAGUUCCGGAGGAGCAGGCAUCGUGGCAGUGGAAGGGCACGAACGGCGCUCCGAUUGCGUGGCGGCCGGGGUGAUCGGCAUUCCGGGCCUGAGCAUCGGCAAGAGCGACGCGGACACGCUGGGGCGGGGGGACUGGGCUGCCCUCGAGAUUCUCAAGCCGGACGUUGUCGCGCCAAGCAUCAGUGGCGGAGCUAAGUUGGGGCUAGGGGGGGCACUGCCCCCCAGCUUUAGGAAAAACUCUGAAGGAAAAUAUAUUUGA